GGUGAAUAUCAGAUGGAUCAGAGAGAUAAAGUCAUGGGGGUCAGGUGUGGUAUCAGGAAUAAUGUUUUAAUCCUUUUAAAGCUUGCUGUUGGAUGGGAUAUUGGCGUUGAGCCAGGUAAGGGUGAUUAGGUUUUAAUGAGAUGGUAAGUGGUGCGUGAUUGGUCGCCAAGGAGGGAGUAGAGGUAUCUUAUACUUGUGGGUUAAGGUGGGGGAAUACAGGAGGAGGAAGCAAAGGAGGCUUUUGGAUUGGGAAGAAGGGCAGCAAUGAGAUGCGGCUAUAGUCCAGGAAUAGUCAGGGAAGCAGAUAAUUUGGUUAAAAUAUCUCAGCCUAAUAAGGGAACUGGGCAGGUGGGGAUAACUAAAAAAGAGUGUAUAAAAGAGUAUUGUCUAAGUUGGCACCA
rnacentral:lncRNA from 10 species